UACGGGGGGGGCAAGCGUUGUUCGGAAUUACUGGCGUAAAGGGCUCGUAGGUGGCCAACUAAGUCAGACGUGAAAUCCCUCAGCUUAACUGGGGAACUGCGUCUGAUACUGGAUGGCUUGAGUUUGGGAGAGGAUGCGGAAUUCCAGGUGUAGCGGUGAAAUGCGUAGAUAAUCUGGAGGAACACCGGUGGCGAAGGCGGCAAUCCUGGACCAACACUGACACUGAGGAGCGAAAAGCCAGGGGGAGCAA
rnacentral:rRNA from 1 species